AUGAGCCACCUCCACCCCGACGAGGGUGGCGCCGGGAUGCCCUCCCGCCUCCGCUCCCAGAUCCACGCGGGCGACGAGCGAUCCGGACUGGCCCACCCACGCACCACGCGCCUCCGUCCCCAGAUCCACGCCAAUGAGGAUGGCGCCGGAGUGACCUCCCAUCGCCGCGGUAAGCGCCUCCGUCCCCAGACCCGUGCCAGCAAGGACGGCGACGACAUGUCCGGCCGCCGCGGCACCUCGCCGGAGCAGCCUGCCUCCCUGCCGGACAACCAAGAUAUGCUCUGGGAGAUCCUUCUCCGCCUUCCCCAGGACCUAUACUCGCUUCACCGCGCCUCCGCCGUCUGCAAGCAGUGGCGAGGCAUCCUUGUCGACCCCAGGUUCCUCUGUCUGUUCCAUGCGCACCACCGCAAGCCACCCCUCCUCGGCUUCUUCCAUUACAGCAGCAAACAGAUAGUGUUCAAGCCCGUCCUGGCCCCUCCAGACUGCAUCACCCCUGGGCGCUUCUCCCUUGGGCACUACAGCAACCACAUUCUGCUUGAUUCACGCCACGGCCGCGUCCUCGUCAAAGGCUUGCAGCUUGGAGAGGUCGCUGUGUGUGACCCUAUCACCAGCAAACAUCACCGCGUGUCCAUUCCGCCCGAGUUCAACGGGCGCCUCUUUAAGGCAGCAGUGCUUUGUGCUGCUAGCAACCAGGGCCAUGUGCACGGCGGCUGCCACUUGUGCCCCUUCAAGGUGGUCUUGGUAAUGAUAUACAGUGAGGGCCAACCUAUUGCCUCCGUUUACUCCUCAGAGACUGCCACAUGGAGUGGUCUCAUCUCUACAGAGCCUCCACAUGAUGGGUGUUUUCUUAAUGGUCGUGGCACCCUUGUUGGUAAUGUUCUUUACUGGCCAUUAAAUAUGCGAGGACACAACAUACUUGAGUUUGAUUUGGACACACAGAAUCUUACUGUGAUUAAGGGGCCUCCUGACAUGCAUAUGAUUGAUUUACAUAACUUUCAUAUUAUUGAGGCAGAGGAUGGCGCUGUUGGUCUUGCUAGAGUGUCUUGCCUUAAGCUUCUAUUGUGGCAGAGGAAGAUUGAUUGUCAGGGUAUUCCCAUAUGGUUUUUGUGGAAGACCAUUUCAUGGCGUAAACUUCUUAAAAUCACUAAGAAAAGGCAAUGGCUCAAAGUGGUAGGGUAUGAUGAGGAUAAUAAUGCACAAGCAUUGACGAUGGAACUAAUGGAGCUGAAAUGUCAGGAUGACUCUGGUUUGAUGUGCUAA
rnacentral:rRNA from 1 species